rnacentral:rRNA from 1 species
UACGGAGGAUCCAAGCGUUAUCCGGAUUUAUUGGGUUUAAAGGGUGCGUAGGUGGGAUGAUAAGUCAGAGGUGAAAGCUAGCAGCUUAACUGUUAAAUUGCCUUUGAUACUGUUAUUCUUGAGUAUAGUUGGCGUUGGCGGAAUGUGACAUGUAGCGGUGAAAUGCGUAGAUAUAUGGAAGAACACCAAUAACGGCGAAGGCAGUUAACUAUUCUGUUACUGACAUUGAGGCACGAAAGCGUGGGGAGCAAAACGG